UGGUGAGUGGGGGUGUGGGGUCAGUGGGGAAGGGGUGGCGGGGAGUCGGAGCCACGGAGGAAGCAGACGCACGAGCGGGGAGGCAGACCCACCGAGGAGACGAAGCAAUUUACAUCUCAUGAUUUAGCAUUUUUGCAAUUGAGCCAUGGAGGUCAUGAAAGGAGCUCAUAAGUUAUACAAGCAUGAAGUUGAGUAAUGUGGGUUUGUGAUAGUAUGAUUGUAGUUUUUUUUGGUGAGAUGUUUGCGCAGUAGAGUCAUGAAAGUUCAAUUUUUGCCUGUGAUGUAGUUUUUGAUUCAAGGAACGAGAGAGAGGCAAAUCUAUUUGUGUAAAUAGACUACUAUAAACCAAAUUUCUAUGCUUAUGACAUUUGGCAGUUAUGUAUAA